rnacentral:rRNA from 1 species
AGUGAACGCUGGCGGUAGGCCUAACACAUGCAAGUCGAACGGCAGCACAGUAAGAGCUUGCUCUUACGGGUGGCGAGUGGCGGACGGGUGAGGAAUACAUCGGAAUCUACUUUUUCGUGGGGGAUAACGUAGGGAAACUUACGCUAAUACCGCAUACGACCUACGGGUGAAAGCAGGGGAUCUUCGGACCUUGCGCGAUUGAAUGAGCCGAUGUCGGAUUAGCUAGUUGGCGGGGUAAAGGCCCACCAAGGCGACGAUCCGGAGCUGGUCUGAGAGGAUGAUCAGCCACACUGGAACUGAGACACGGUCCAGACUCCUACGGGAGGCAGCAGUGGGGAAUAUUGGAGAAUGGGCGCAAGCCUGAUCCAGCCAUACCGCGUGGGUGAAGAAGGCCUUCGGGUUGUAAAGCCCUUUUGUUGGGAAAGAAAAGCAGCAGGUUAAUACCCCGCUGUUCUGACGGUACCCAAAGAAUAAGCACCGGCUAACUUCGUG